rnacentral:rRNA from 1 species
GUGCAGCAGUCGAGAAACCUUCGCAAUGCGGGAAACCGCGACGAGGGGACUCCCAGUGCCUACGCUCAGCGUAGGCUGUUCCCGAGCCUAGAAAGCUCGGGGAGUAAGGGCUGGGUAAGACGGGUGCCAGCCGCCGCGGUAAUACCCGCAGCCCGAGUGGUGGCCACUAUUAUUGGGCCUAAAGCGUCCGUAGCCGGCCCGGUAAAUGCCUGGGUAAAUCGUGAGGCCUAACCUCACGAAUUCCGGGUAGACUGCCGGGCUAGGGACCGGAGGAGGGAGAGGGUACUCCAGGGGUAGGGGUGAAAUCCUGUAAUCCCUGGAGGACCACCGGUGGCGAAGGCGCUCUCCUAGGACGGGUCCGACGGUGAGGGACGAAAGCCAGGGGAGCGAACCGGAUUAGAUACCCGCGUAGU